UAGGGAAUCUUCGGCAAUGGACGAAAGUCUGACCGAGCAACGCCGCGUGAGUGAGGAAGGUUUUCGGAUCGUAAAACUCUGUUGGUAGAGAAGAACGUUGGUGAGAGUGGAAAGCUCAUCAAGUGACGGUAACUACCCAGAAAGGGACGGCUAACUACGUGCCAGCAGCCGCGGUAAUACGUAGGUCCCGAGCGUUGUCCGGAUUUAUUGGGCGUAAAGCGAGCGCAGGUGGUUUAUUAAGUCUGGUGUAAAAGGCAGUGGCUCAACCAUUGUAUGCAUUGGAAACUGGUAGACUUGAGUGCAGGAGAGGAGAGUGGAAUUCCAUGUGUAGCGGUGAAAUGCGUAGAUAUAUGGAGGAACACCGGUGGCGAAAGCGGCUCUCUGGCCUGUAACUGACACUGAGGCUCGAAAGCGUGGGGAGCAAACAGGAUUAGAUACCCUGGUAGUCCACGCCGUAAACGAUGAGUGCUAGAUGUAGGGAGCUAUAAGUUCUCUGUAUCGCAGCUAACGCAAUAAGCACUCCGCCUGGGGAGUACGACCGCAAGGUUGAAAC
rnacentral:rRNA from 1 species